rnacentral:rRNA from 1 species
AUAGGGUCAAGUGAAUAAGUGCAUCAGGCGGAUGCCUUGGCGAUGAUAGGCGACGAAGGACGUGUAAGCCUGCGAAAAGCGCGGGGGAGCUGGCAAUAAAGCUAUGAUUCCGCGAUGUCCGAAUGGGGAAACCCACUGCAUUCUGUGCAGUAUCCUAAGUUGAAUACAUAGGCUUAGAGAAGCGAACCCGGAGAACUGAACCAUCUAAGUACCCGGAGGAAAAGAAAUCAACCGAGAUUCCGCAAGUAGUGGCGAGCGAACGCGGAGGAGCCUGUACGUAAUAACUGUCGAGAUAGAAGAACAAGCUGGGAAGCUUGACCAUAGCGGGUGACAGUCCCGUAUUCGAAAUCUCAACAGCGGUACUAAGCGUACGAAAAGUAGGGCGGGACACGUGAAAUCCUGUCUGAAUAUGGGGGGACCAUCCUCCAAGGCUAAAUACUCAUCAUCGACCGAUAGUGAACCAGUACCGUGAGGGAAAGGCGAAAAGAACCCCGGGAGGGGAGUGAAACAGAACCUGAAACCUGAUGCAUACAAACAGUGGGAGCGCCCUAGUGGUGUGACUGCGUACCUUUUGUAUAAUGGGUCAACGACUUACAUUCAGUAGCGAGCUUAACCGGAUAGGGGAGGCGUAGGGAAACCGAGUCUUAAUAGGGCGAUGAGUUGCUGGGUGUAGACCCGAAACCGAGUGAUCUAUCCAUGGCCAGGUUGAAGGUGCCGUAACAGGUACUGGAGGACCGAACCCACGCAUGUUGCAAAAUGCGGGGAUGAGCUGUGGGUAGGGGUGAAAGGCUAAACAAACUCGGAGAUAGCUGGUUCUCCCCGAAAACUAUUUAGGUAGUGCCUCGAGCAAGACACUGAUGGGGGUAAAGCACUGUUAUGGCUAGGGGGUUAUUGCAACUUACCAACCCAUGGCAAACUCAGAAUACCAUCAAGUGGUUCCUCGGGAGACAGACAGCGGGUGCUAACGUCCGUUGUCAAGAGGGAAACAACCCAGACCGCCGGCUAAGGUCCCAAAUGAUAGAUUAAGUGGUAAACGAAGUGGGAAGGCACAGACAGCCAGGAUGUUGGCUUAGAAGCAGCCAUCAUUUAAAGAAAGCGUAAUAGCUCACUGGUCGAGUCGUCCUGCGCGGAAGAUGUAACGGGGCUCAAAUCUAUAACCGAAGCUGCGGAUGCCGGUUUACCGGCAUGGUAGGGGAGCGUUCUGUAGGCUGAUGAAGGUGCAUUGUAAAGUGUGCUGGAGGUAUCAGAAGUGCGAAUGUUGACAUGAGUAGCGAUAAAGCGGGUGAAAAGCCCGCUCGCCGAAAGCCCAAGGUUUCCUACGCAACGUUCAUCGGCGUAGGGUAAGUCGGCACCUAAGGCGAGGCAGAAAUGCGUAGUCGAUGGGAAACAGGUUAAUAUUCCUGUACUUGAUUCAAAUGCGAUGUGGGGACGGAGAAGGUUAGGUUGGCAAGCUGUUGGAAUAGCUUGUUUAAGCCGGUAGGUGGAAGACUUAGGCAAAUCCGGGUUUUCUUAACACCGAGAAGUGAUGACGAGUGUCUACGGACACGAAGCAACCGAUACCACGCUUCCAGGAAAAGCCACUAAGCUUCAGUUUGAAUCGAACCGUACCGCAAACCGACACAGGUGGGCAGGAUGAGAAUUCUAAGGCGCUUGAGAGAACUCGGGAGAAGGAACUCGGCAAAUUGAUACCGUAACUUCGGGAGAAGGUAUGCCCUCUAAGGUUAAGGACUUGCUCCGUAAGCCCCGGAGGGUCGCAGAGAAUAGGUGGCUGCGACUGUUUAUUAAAAACACAGCACUCUGCCAACACGAAAGUGGACGUAUAGGGUGUGACGCCUGCCCGGUGCCGGAAGGUUAAUUGAAGAUGUGCAAGCAUCGGAUCGAAGCCCCGGUAAACGGCGGCCGUAACUAUAACGGUCCUAAGGUAGCGAAAUUCCUUGUCGGGUAAGUUCCGACCCGCACGAAUGGCGUAACGAUGGCCACACUGUCUCCUCCCGAGACUCAGCGAAGUUGAAGUGGUUGUGAAGAUGCAAUCUACCCGCUGCUAGACGGAAAGACCCCGUGAACCUUUACUGUAGCUUUGCAUUGGACUUUGAAGUCACUUGUGUAGGAUAGGUGGGAGGCUUGGAAGCAGAGACGCCAGUCUCUGUGGAGUCGUCCUUGAAAUACCACCCUGGUGUCUUUGAGGUUCUAACCCAGACCCGUCAUCCGGGUCGGGGACCGUGCAUGGUAGGCAGUUUGACUGGGGCGGUCUCCUCCCAAAGCGUAACGGAGGAGUUCGAAGGUUACCUAGGUCCGGUCGGAAAUCGGACUGAUAGUGCAAUGGCAAAAGGUAGCUUAACUGCGAGACCGACAAGUCGGGCAGGUGCGAAAGCAGGACAUAGUGAUCCGGUGGUUCUGUAUGGAAGGGCCAUCGCUCAACGGAUAAAAGGUACUCCGGGGAUAACAGGCUGAUUCCGCCCAAGAGUUCAUAUCGACGGCGGAGUUUGGCACCUCGAUGUCGGCUCAUCACAUCCUGGGGCUGUAGUCGGUCCCAAGGGUAUGGCUGUUCGCCAUUUAAAGUGGUACGUGAGCUGGGUUUAAAACGUCGUGAGACAGUUUGGUCCCUAUCUGCAGUGGGCGUUGGAAGUUUGACGGGGGCUGCUCCUAGUACGAGAGGACCGGAGUGGACGAACCUCUGGUGUACCGGUUGUAACGCCAGUUGCAUAGCCGGGUAGCUAAGUUCGGAAGAGAUAAGCGCUGAAAGCAUCUAAGCGCGAAACUCGCCUGAAGAUGAGACUUCCCUUGCGGUUUAACCGCACUAAAGGGUCGUUCGAGACCAGGACGUUGAUAGGUGGGGUGUGGAAGCGCGGUAACGCGUGAAGCUAACCCAUACUAAUUGCCCGUGAGGCUUGACUCUAU